rnacentral:rRNA from 1 species
GAUGAACGCUGGCGGCGUGCUUAACACAUGCAAGUCGAACGAAGCAUUUAGGAUUGAAGUUUUCGGAUGGAUUUCCUAUAUGACUGAGUGGCGGACGGGUGAGUAACGCGUGGGGAACCUGCCCUAUACAGGGGGAUAACAGCUGGAAACGGCUGCUAAUACCGCAUAAGCGCACAGAAUCGCCAUGAUUCCAGUGUGAAAAGUCCCUGGCAGUAUAAGGAAUGGUUCCCGCGUCUGGAUUAGCUGGUUGGUGAGGUAACGGCUCACCAAGGCGACGAUCAGUAGCCGGGCUUGAGAGAGUGAACGGCCACAUUGGGACUGAGACACGGCCCAAACUCCUACGGGAGGCAGCAGUGGGGAAUAUUGCACAAUGGGGGAAACCCUGAUGCAGCGACGCCGCGUGAGUGAAGAAAGUAUUUCGGUAUGUAAAGCUCUAUCAGCAGGGAAGAAAACAGACGGUACCUGACUAAGAAGCCCCGGCUAACUACGUGCCAGCAGCCGCGGUAAUACGUAGGGGGCAAGCGUUAUCCGGAAUUACUUGGGUGUAAAGGGUGCGUAGGUGGCAUGGUAAGUCAGAAGUGAAAGCCCGGGGCUUAACCCCGGGACUGCUUUUGAAACUGUCAUGCUGGAGUGCAGGAGAGGUAAGCGGAAUUCCUAGUGUAGCGGUGAAAUGCGUAGAUAUUAGGAGGAACACCAGUGGCGAAGGCGGCUUACUGGACUGUCACUGACACUGAUGCACGAAAGCGUGGGGAGCAAACAGGAUUUAGAUUACCCUGGUAGUUCCACCGCCGUAAACGAUGAAUACUAAGGUGUCGGGGCCGUAGAGGUUUUCGGUGCCGCAGCCAAACGCAAGAUAAGUAUUCCACCUGGGGGAGGUACGUUCGCAAGAAAUGAAACUCAAAGGGAAUUUGACGGGGGACCCGCACAAGCGGGUGGAGCAUGUGGUUUAAAUUCGAAGCAACGCGAAGAACCCUUACCUGAUCUUGACAUCCCCGAUGACCGGUUCCGUAAUGGGAGCUUUUUUUUCGGAACAUCGGGUGACAGGUGGGGCAUGGUUGUCGUCAGCUCGUGUCGUGAGAUGUUGGGUUAAGUCCCGCAACGAGCGCAACCCCUAUCUUUAGUAGCCAGCAUUUUGGAUGGGCACUCUAGAGAGACUGCCAGGGAUAACCUGGAGGAAAGGUGGGGAUGACGUCAAAUCAUCAUGCCCCUUAUGACCAGGGCUACACACGUGCUACAAUGGCGUAAACAAAGGGAAGCAAAGCUGUGAGGCCGAGCAAAUCCCAAAAAUAACGUCUCAGUUCGGAUUGUAGUCUGCAACUCGACUACAUGAAGCCUGGAAUACGCUAGUUCGCGAAUCAGAAUGUCGCGGUGAAUACGUUCCCGGGUCUUGUACACACCGCCCGUCACACCAUGGGAGUCAGUAACGCCCGAAGUCAGUGACCCAACCGUAAGGAGGGAGCUGCCGAAGGUGGGACCGAUAACUGGGGUGAAGCCGUAACAAGGUAACCGUAAUCACUAGGAAUUCGCGGCCGCCCGCAGGUCGACCAUAUGGGAGAGCUCCCAACGCGU